AACCUGGUUGAUCCUGCCAGUAGUCAUACGCUUGUCUCAAAGAUUAAGCCAUGCAUGUCUAAGUAUAAACAAUUUUGUACUGUGAAACUGCGAAUGGCUCAUUAUAUCAGUUAUAGUCUACACUCCUGGACACAAUUAUACGGCAAUCUCGUCAAGUGCCCGUAACUCAGUCAAUUUUUAGCUAGCGUCAAUAGACCCAUCCGCAUUUUUUUACUAUAGCAGAUCAUAUGAAGACCACCGUGUAGUCGUCGCGAUCUUACAUUUAAAAGUUCUCCAUCAAUAUUGAUCAAGCAGAGGUGCGAGUGCAAUACGUUACAUAUAACAGUAUUGUGUACACCCCCAUGCAACUAAUUUAAGCUCUCGAUCCCUAGUGUCCAUUUAAUCGCCCUCACAAACUCAGCCCAUACAAAUUUCUAGUCAGCCAAAUAGACACAUGUUUUAUUUUAUAUAGGCUUUUUGUAUUGGGCCGAUGGUGGCCGUAUAUUGUGUCCAGCCUGACAAAUUUCUUUUUUGAAUGGAAGCCUCCCUAUAAAGUGCUAGCACAUCCUUGCUAUUUUGAAGCAUGUUUUACAACUUGUGUGAAAAUCGCACCGUCAAAUAAUAAAAAUUGACUGAGUUAGGGGCACUCGACGAGAUGGCCGUAUAGUUGUGUCCAGGAGUGUACUCGAUAGUACCUUACUACUUGAAUACCCGUAGUAAUUCUAAAGCUAAUACAUGCAUCAAUACCCAACUGCUUGUCGGGCGGGUAGCAUUUAUUAGAUUGAAACCAAUGCAGUCUUCGGGCUGGUAUUGUGUUGAGUCAUAAUAACUAUGCGGAUCGCGCUUUUGCGCGAUAAAUCGAUUGAGUUUCUGCCCUAUCAGCUUUGGAUGGUAGGAUAUGGGCCUACCAUGGCAUUAACGGGUAACGGGGAAUUAGGGUUUGAUUCCGGAGAGGGAGCCUUAGAAACGGCUACCACAUCCACGGAAGGCAGCAGGAGCGUAAAUUACCCAAUCUUGACACAGGGAGGUAGUGACAAUAAAUAACAAUGCUCUGGCUCUUCGAGUCGGGCAAUUGGAAUGAGAACAAUUUAAAUCCCUUAACGAGGAUCAAUUGGAGGGCCAGUCUGGUGCCAGCAGCCGCGGUAAUUCCAGCUCCAAUAGCGUAUUUUAAAGUUGUUGCAGUUAAAAAGCUCGUAGCUGGAUUUCUGUUAUGGAUGUCCGGUCCGCUCCCUCUGGGAGUGUGUACUUAUGGGAAUUCGAGGCAUUUUUUGUGAGUCUGCCUUUCCUCGAUUAAGUUGGUGGGUUGGUGGGCUUGUAUCGUUUACUGUGAAAAAAAUAGAGUGUUUAAAGCAGGCGUUUGCUUAUUUGAAUACAUUAGCAUGGAAUAAUAAGAUACGGCCUUGGUGGUCUAUUUUGUUGGGUUGCACACCAGGGUAAUGAUUAAUAGGAACAGUUGGGGGUAUUCAUAUUUCAGCGUCAGAGGUGAAAUUCUUGGAUCGCUGAAAGAUGAGCUUAGGCGAAAGCAUUUCCCAAGGAUGUUUUCAUUAAUCAAGAACGAAAGUUAGGGGAUCGAAGAUGAUUAGAUACCAUCGUUGUCUUAACCAUAAACUAUGCCGACUCGGGAUUGGCAGUCGUUUACUUUAAAUGACCUUGUCAGCACCGUAUGAGAAAUCAAAGGCUUUGGGUUCCGGGGGGAGUAUGGUCGCAAGGCUGAAACUUAAAGGAAUUGACGGAAGGGCACCACCAGGAGUGGGACCUGCGGCUUAAUUUGGCUCAACACGGGAAAACUUACCAGGUCCAGACAUAGUAAGGAUUGACAGAUUGAGAGCUCUUUCUUGAUUCUAUGGGUGGUGGUGCAUGGCCGUUCUUAGUUGGUGGAGUGAUUUGUCUGGUUAAUUCCGUUAACGAACGAGACCUCCGCGUGCUAAAUAGUUCCGUUUACCAUUUUUGGUAGGUUUGUGGACUUCUUAGAGGGACUUUUGGGUAAUCAAACCGAAGGAAGCUGGAGGCAAUAACAGGUCUGUGAUGCCCUUAGAUGCUCUGGGCCGCACGCGCGCUACACUGAUGCGUUCAACGAGUAUAUAACCUUGAUCGAUAGGUCUGGGUAAUCUUGUGAAUGCGCAUCGUGCUAGGGAUAUACUGUUGCAAUUUUCAGUCUUGAACGAGGAAUUCCUAGUAAACGCAAGUCAUCAGCUUGCAUUGAUUACGUCCCUGUCCUUUGUACUCACCGCCCGUCGCACCUACCGAUUGAAUGACUCGGUAUAAAAUUGGGACCGUGAGUCUGUUUGCUUCAUUGCGAGUGGAUUGAUGGGAACUUUUUUAAACCUCGCCAUUUAGAGGAAGGUGAAGUCGUAACAAGGUUUCCGUAGGUGAGCCUGCGGAAGGAUCAUUA
rfam:Phytophthora infestans T30-4 supercont1.21 genomic scaffold, whole genome shotgun sequence.